UUAAAUGUAGAGGCGAUCUUAGUUUGUAUGACAUUGAACUUUGAAGGGUCACUCACUCACUCUUGAGUUUGGUUCCAAAGUUGAUUCAACCAAAUCCAAACAUCAGCUAUUGACUCCUUCAGCACAUGAUUUCAAUAGCUAUUGCAUUCAACAACACAGAGAGAGAAUAUGGUUUUGGCUCAGGAUUUUUAAGUCAAUGUAAUGAUGAGAAGUGUUUUAGUUAAUUUUUUUUUUGUCUUAAUUUUUCAGAAUAAGUAUAGUCUAGCAAAUAGUUUUUUCGACUAGGAUUCGAAUUAAGGUUCUUCCGAACAAUUCAUCAUUAAUAAAUUGUUUUAACUAGGAUUCAAAUUAAGGUUCUUCUGAACAAUUCAUCAUUAAUUGAAGUUCAUUAACCACGUGAGUCUAAC